AUAUCUUUCUGUACGGGAAGGAUGAGAAGCUUCGACUAAGGUUCGAUUCGAGCGCAGCGAGAAAGCGUUGCCGCAGGCAACGACCCGAAGGGCGAAGCGCGCAGCGCUGAGUCAUCCUUCCCCCACC
rnacentral:sRNA from 2 species